rnacentral:rRNA from 1 species
GACGAACGCUGGCGGCGUGCUUAACACAUGCAAGUCGAGCGAUGAAGCACCUUCGGGUGUGAAUUAGCGGCGAACGGGUGAGGAACACGUGAGAAAUCUGCCUUCAACACUGGGAUAACUCCGGGAAACCGGGGCUAAUACCGGAUAUGAAACCUGCGGGCAUCCGCGGGUUUGGAAAGUUUUUCGGUUGAAGAUGAUCUCGCGGCCUAUCAGCUUGUUGGUGAGGUAAUGGCUCACCAAGGCGACGACGGGUAGCCGGCCUGAGAGGGCGACCGGCCACACUGGGACUGAGACACGGCCCAGACUCCUACGGGAGGCAGCAGUGGGGAAUAUUGGGGCAAUGGAGGAAACUCUGACCCAGCGACGCCGCGUGCGGGAUGAAGGCCUCGGUGUAAACCGCUUUCAGCAGGGAAGAAGCGAAAGUGACGGUACCUGCAGAAGAAGCACCGGCUAACUAUGUG